rnacentral:rRNA from 1 species
AUUGAACGCUGGCGGCAGGCCUAACACAUGCAAGUCGAACGAGUGGCGGACGGGUGAGUAAUGUAUGGGAAACUGCCCGAUGGAGGGGGAUAACUACUGGAAACGGUGGCUAAUACCGCCUACUAUCGGAUGAGCCCAGAUGGGAUUAGCUUGUAGGUAAGGUAACGGCUUACCUAGGCGACGAUCCCUAGCUGGUCUGAGAGGAUGAGCAGCAACACUGGGACUGAGACACGGCCAAGACUCCUACGGGAGUCAGCAGUGGGGAAUAUUGCACAAUGGGCGCAAGCCUGAUGCAGCCAUGCCGCGUGUAUGAAGAAGGCCUUAGGGUUGUAAAGUAUUUUCAGUCGGGAGGCGUUACCGGCAGAAGAUGCACCGGCUAACUCCGUGCCAGCAGCCGCGGUAAUAC